rnacentral:rRNA from 1 species
GACGUAGGGGGCCAGCGUUGUUCGGAAUUACUGGGCGUAAAGGGUUCGUAGGCGGUGUGGCAAGUCGGGAGUGAAAUCUCUGGGCUCAACCCAGAGGCUGCUUCCGAAACUGCUGUGCUUGAGUGUGGGAGAGGCGCGUGGAAUUGCAGGUGUAGCGGUGAAAUGCGUAGAUAUCUGCAGGAACACCCGUGGCGAAAGCGGCGCGCUGGACCACUACUGACGCUGAAGAACGAAAGCUAGGGGAGCAAACAGG